rnacentral:lncRNA from 1 species
GGCCCACCGGCCACCACCCCGCACAUAUAUUGAACUAACUGUAUCUCUGAACCCGGGGAGUUGAAAAUAAUAGUAGCAUCUUUUCACUAAGUGCUCAAUGUGUACGGCACACUGAGCUACCUGCUUUCAUGCGGUGUUUCACUUCAUCCACAAAAUAAUUCCACAAGGUAGGCCCCAGGGCCUGAAGUUCCAAUGUCUCAUGUCUUUUGUCUCUGCGUCUGCUGUGACAGCUAGGCCUGGCACAGUGGUGAGAGCUCAGAGAAUGGUUGUUGACAGAAUAUCCAUCUAUUUCCUCUCCCUUGAGUGUCAGAAGGAGAGAGAAUUGGAGGACAUGUUGGAAGGUCUAACAUCCCUGAGGGCUGGAUGGGGCUGAAGAUGGCGGAGCACUAGCAGGCCUGAGCCAUUAAAAGAAGCUGAAGUGUUUUAAGUGCUUUGGGGCAUUUAGAAUCUGAUGUGUCACUGAGACAUCCAGCGGAGCACUCCCCAUAGGAUGACGAUCUAGAAUUCAAGGCCAGUCCUGGCAAUAUAGCAAAUUCAAAACCAACCAGCCUGGGCUAUAGGAGAUCCAAAGGAACAUGCUCAGGACUUGAACUCAGUUCCAUCUGGAAGGUACCACAUCCCUAAUCCUGUCUGCAUAUGGUAGUCAAGGAAAAGACUGGAAUAGAAAACGUAUACCUUAAAGAGGGAAAGUGGGAGGUGAUGGGGGAGAUGAGCUCAGAGAAGGGCCAGAUCAGAGGUCUCUGGGCCCCUGAGGGAUCUGGGGUGUGGCAGGAGAGCCGGACAUUAGGGAACAACCCUCUUUAGCACAGCAGCAGCCUUCAUCAGGGACCUGUGCUGUGGGAAACUAGGAAGUAGAGGCUGUUGGCUGGGAAAGGACCUGAAGGAAGGAAGUGCCCUGUGACUACGUGGGCUCUGGAGAGCAGGACAGAUGGUCUGGACUGGUUUGGAAAAGACUGGCGUGGAUGUGCGCAGGCAGGAGUAGGAGGGGCUGGGAGAUGCUGCUGGCGUGGUAGCAACAACCUUGGCCAGGCUGCCUCGCCCACUUGCCUGGGUCCUUUGCUGCUGUGAUUGCCGUUAAUGUUCGUUCGGGAAAAGCCUGGGAACACUUGGGUGGAUUGUCUCCAUGGUGCAGGUGACAGAGUGGCUUGCUCAAGAGCACAGCAUUUUGGAGAGCCAGCCUGUAUUUGAAAAGUGAAAAAGAACAUUCGAACCCUCGACUCACAUGAUUCUGUAGCAUUUUCUGAGUCAAGAGAGAACUGAGGGCUGGAGAGAUGGCUCAGUGGUUAAGAGCACUGACUGCUUUUCCAGAGGUCCUGAGUUCAAUUCCCAGCAACCACAUGGUGGCUCACAACCAUCUGUAAUGGGAUCUGAUGCCCUCUUCUGGUGUGUCUGAAGACAGCGACAGUGUACUCAUAUAAAUAAAAUAAAUAAAUAUAAAUAAAAAGGGAAGUGGAUGGACUCCAGCAGGAGGCAGAGCUUCAAGUGAGGAGAAUGUGGGAGUGGAAGAGGGACGAAGAAACGUACAGAUCAUAUGUGCACUGGGAACAGAGGCACCGCCGCGGCGUCUAGAGCAGCCUACGGGACUGUCAGAAGGGACACUCCAAGAAGGACAGAAGAAACUGCUGAGUUGGGGGUCUGCCUAUGGUGGCCUGCCGAUGUCUGUUUUAGAACUAAGCAGCUGGGUGGGAGUCCCACAGAGUCUGAGAGAAGGUCCCUGUCACCCUCACCAGGAAACGAGAUUUAACUUCAGCUUUCCACUCGGGGUCCAGGUAAGAACCGCAAAGACUGCCGGGCUGUUCUCUAGGGAUCCCUGUAUCCCUCCUAAGCUAUAGGAUUGCAUUCU